GACGAACGCUGGCGGCGUGCUUAACACAUGCAAGUCGAACGAAGUGGCGAACGGGUGAGUAACGCGUAAUCAACCUGCCCUUCAGAGGGGGACAACAGUUGGAAACGACUGCUAAUACCGCAUACUGAAGGAGGGGAUUGCGUCUGAUUAGCUAGUUGGAGGGGUAACGGCCCACCAAGGCGAUGAUCAGUAGCCGGGCUGAGAGGCAGAACGGGCCAAUUUGGACUGAGAAACGGGCCAGACUUCUACGGGAUGGAGCCGUGGGGAAGCAUUCGCAAAGGACGGAAUGCCGACGGAGCAACGCCGCGUGAGGGAUGACGGCCUUCGGGUUUGAAAGCUCUGUUAAGCGGGACGCGGUACCGGAAUAGAAAGCCCCGGCUAACUACGUGCCAGCAGCCGCGGUAAUUC
rnacentral:rRNA from 1 species